rnacentral:sRNA from 1 species
UGUCGUUUCCUUUAAUAUUGUGACGUUGGUGGGUUGACCACAUACCAAGGCAGGCCCCACUUCCCAAAAUAGCGAGGCUCAGUGGGGGAGAGGCGAAAAGAAAACAGAAACAAUCUCAGUGUGGAGUGGGAAAGGAUUCAAUCGGGAGGCAGGUGAUCAGCACAUUGGACAUUAUCUUGUGGACUAACUGUUCAGAUAUGGCUGUAGGAAGGGAAGCCCUGAGACAGUCUGCUGUGCCCUGCCCCAUUGGAAGCUUUGCUAUGCCCUCUGAGCACUUCCUUGUAAGUUCGGCCAGAGUUAAUGUUAAAGCAAAAGCACACAGACAUGAAAACAGACAUGAUUUCUUCCAAACCCAAAGAGAAUGAAUGCAUCAGAAGGUGUCUACAGGUAUUUGCUUUAGACUUUUGGCUUGAGAUCUUUGCUAAAUUGAGGAUAUUUCCUUUGUUGGUCUAGGAUGCUGGGAGACUUAAAAUAAUUUAGUCAUAAACGUUUGUGUUUGUCGUCUACUGUUGACUUUGGACAAUCAUAUAAAUUGCACGUUACGUUAUUAUCUACUACUCUUUCAUUAUUAUUACUGCAGCAAUGAAGAUCAAUUCUUGGCCUUGUAUAUACUAAGGAAACUACCUCUGAACUCUGCCUCCAGCUUAACCUUUUAAUUCAUCAAUGAAUGGGAGAAAAACAUGGCUUCUUUUCCUGUGUUUGCUUACCUUUGCAGUCCUCAUCAGACACAACUAUUGUCAAC